rnacentral:rRNA from 1 species
UAGGGAAUAUUGGUCAAUGGGCGAAAGCCUGAACCAGCAACGCCGCGUGUGUGAUGAAGGCCUUCGGGUCGUAAAGCACUUUUCUGGGAGAUGAGAAAGGACAGUAUCCCAGGAAUAAGUCUCGGCUAACUACGUGCCAGCAGCCGCGGUAAAACGUAGGAGGCAAGCGUUAUCCGGAUUCACUGGGCGUAAAGCGCGUGCAGGUGGCGCGGUAAGUUAGGCGUGAAAUCUCCCGGCUCAACUGGGAGAGGUCGUCUAAUACUACCGUGCUUGAGAGCAGAAGAGGAAGAUGGAAUUCCCGGUGUAGUGGUGAAAUGCGUAGAUAUCGGGAGGAACACCAGUGGCGAAGGCGAUCUUCUGGUCUGUUUCUGACACUCAGACGCGACAGCUAGGGUAGUAAACGGGAUUAGAGACCCCGGUAAUCCUAGCCGUAAACGAUGUGAACUUGGCGUUGGUGGGGUAAAGCCGAUCAGUGCCGAAGCUAACGCGAUAAG